UCAGAAGGGAACUGUGUAGACUCCAUGCCAUUAAAGCUGUGGAUCCUGAUGGCAUCAGUCCCAGGACCCUCAGGUGCUGUGCAGCCCAGCUGUGUGGAGUUUUACAUCUGAUCUUCAACACGAGUCUAAAACUGCAGAGGGUCCCGUCACUCCGGAAGACAUCCUGUCUGGUUCCUGUCCCCAAAAAGACCCACUCUUUGACCCCCAGUGACUACAGGCCAGUGGCUCAGACUUCAUGAAAGCGCUGGAGAGACUUCUCCUGAAACAUCUGCGUCUGCUGGUGGAGCCUUGGCUGGACCCCCUACAGUUUGCUUACCGACCCCAUAUCGGCGUGGAGGACGCCAUCAUCUACCUGCUGAACCAGGCUUAUUCUCAUUUGGACAUCGUUGGGAACACCGUGAGGGUUUUGACCUGUUCAGUGCGUUUAAUACAAUCGGACCAUCAUUGCUGGUGAAUAAGCUCACAGAAAUGCAGGUGGAUGCCCCACUGGUUGUUUGGAUUACAGACUAUCUAACCAAUCGACCACAGCAUGUCCGGUUGAAGAGCUGCCGCUCCGAUAGCAUCCUGAGCAGCACGGGAGCAAUACAGGGAACUGUCCUGUCACCAUUCCUCUUCACCCUCUACACGUCUGAAUUCAGGGCUCUGAAAACACUGCAACAUGUUGUACUGCGAACAGCUCCGCUUCCGUCCUGACAAGCGAAUGCAGCAGAGUUAGGCACGGAGAAGAGGAGUGACAGGAUGUGGCUGGUGGCUGACAGUCGGCUCCGCACUGUCACCUGACGUUUCCACGGAGC